rnacentral:rRNA from 1 species
AAAUUGAAGAGUUUGAUCAUGGCUCAGAUUGAACGCUGGCGGCAGGCCUAACACAUGCAAGUCGAACGGUAGCACAGAGAGCUUGCUCUCGGGUGACGAGUGGCGGACGGGUGAGUAAUGUCUGGGAAACUGCCUGAUGGAGGGGGAUAACUACUGGAAACGGUGGCUAAUACCGCAUAACGUCGCAAGACCAAAGAGGGGGACCUUCGGGCCUCUUGCCAUCAGAUGUGCCCAGAUGGGAUUAGCUGGUUGGUGAGGUAACGGCUCACCAAGGCGACGAUCCCUAGCUGGUCUGAGAGGAUGACCAGCCACACUGGAACUGAGACACGGUCCAGACUCCUACGGGAGGCAGCAGUGGGGAAUAUUGCACAAUGGGCGCAAGCCUGAUGCAGCCAUGCCGCGUGUAUGAAGAAGGCCUUCGGGUUGUAAAGUACUUUCAGCGGGGAGGAAGGUGUUGUGGUUAAUAACCGCAGCAAUUGACGUUACCCGCAGAAGAAGCACCGGCUAACUCCGUGCCAGCAGCCGCGGUAAUACGGAGGGUGCAAGCGUUAAUCGGAAUUACUGGGCGUAAAGCGCACGCAGGCGGUCUGUCAAGUCGGAUGUGAAAUCCCCGGGCUCAACCUGGGAACUGCAUUCGAAACUGGCAGGCUUGAGUCUUGUAGAGGGGGGUAGAAUUCCAGGUGUAGCGGUGAAAUGCGUAGAGAUCUGGAGGAAUACCGGUGGCGAAGGCGGCCCCCUGGACAAAGACUGACGCUCAGGUGCGAAAGCGUGGGGAGCAAACAGGAUUAGAUACCCUGGUAGUCCACGCCGUAAACGAUGUCUACUUGGAGGUUGUGCCCUUGAGGCGUGGCUUCCGGAGCUAACGCGUUAAGUAGACCGCCUGGGGAGUACGGCCGCAAGGUUAAAACUCAAAUGAAUUGACGGGGGCCCGCACAAGCGGUGGAGCAUGUGGUUUAAUUCGAUGCAACGCGAAGAACCUUACCUGGUCUUGACAUCCACGGAAGUUUUCAGAGAUGAGAAUGUGCCUUCGGGAACCGUGAGACAGGUGCUGCAUGGCUGUCGUCAGCUCGUGUUGUGAAAUGUUGGGUUAAGUCCCGCAACGAGCGCAACCCUUAUCCUUUGUUGCCAGCGAUUAGGUCGGGAACUCAAAGGAGACUGCCAGUGAUAAACUGGAGGAAGGUGGGGAUGACGUCAAGUCAUCAUGGCCCUUACGACCAGGGCUACACACGUGCUACAAUGGCGCAUACAAAGAGAAGCGACCUCGCGAGAGCAAGCGGACCUCAUAAAGUGCGUCGUAGUCCGGAUUGGAGUCUGCAACUCGACUCCAUGAAGUCGGAAUCGCUAGUAAUCGUGGAUCAGAAUGCCACGGUGAAUACGUUCCCGGGCCUUGUACACACCGCCCGUCACACCAUGGGAGUGGGUUGCAAAAGAAGUAGGUAGCUUAACCUUCGGGAGGGCGCUUACCACUUUGUGAUUCAUGACUGGGGUGAAGUCGUAACAAGGUAACCGUAGGGGAACCUGCGGUUGGAUCACCUCCUUA